GAAAGGUGUCGCGAGGGCUGUGAAUCAGAGCCCUAUUUCUGAAGGGUUAUGUGACACUGAAGAGUUCCGAUACCCUACUGAAGACUGGAGCACAGGAAUAGAUGUCUGUACACAACACCACGGGUCUGUUGCAGUAUACGCAGUGAUGCAAAGUUAAAAGAUCCUUUCUCACUAGCACAAAAGGACUUGCAAAAUGUAUAUGAAGACAUAAAAAAGCUGCUCGUCUCUAAAGCGGAGCUGAAAGCGCUGUGUGAUUAUUACUUUGAUGGGAAGGGAAAAGCCUUUCGACCCAUGAUUGUAAUCCUGAUGGCUCGAGCUUGUAACGUCCACAGCAAUAAAGAAGGGGUCCUGCUGCCGGCGCAGCGCUCCAUCGCUAUGAUCUCUGAGAUGAUCCACACUGCCAGCUUGGUGCAUGAUGACGUUAUUGAUGAUUCGGACACGAGACGUGGGAAAAACACCAUUAAUAAAGUCUGGGGAGAGAGAAAAGUAGGUAACAAAACUGGGUGGAGAUUUCUUCUG